GUAUUAAGUUUCACCUAAUAAUUAGGCUAUGCAUUCUACAUUACAAUGUAAAUGGUUUGUGAUGAAGGGCAAAGCGCAGUCCCAGCAAGUCUGUCACCCUUGCGAGUGAUAAACCGCGACUCCCAUUACGGAGGACUACAACUUUGAAAGUGCACAGGUGUUGAGUGGAUUUGAGCGGGGCUGAGCACAUGCCUCGGUAAAAAGGCCAGCAUCAAGCCCACUUCAAAACUCGAUAAUGAUCCUUCCGCAGGUUCACCUACGGAAA
rnacentral:misc_RNA from 1 species